rnacentral:rRNA from 1 species
CCUACGGGAGGCAGCAGUGAGGAAUAUUGGUCAAUGGACGAGAGUCUGAACCAGCCAAGUAGCGUGAAGGAUGACUGCCCUAUGGGUUGUAAACUUCUUUUAUAUGGGAAUAAAAUGUUCCACGUGUGGGCUUUUGUAUGUACCAUAUGAAUAAGGAUCGGCUAACUCCGUGCCAGCAGCCGCGGUAAUACGGAGGAUCCGAGCGUUAUCCGGAUUUAUUGGGUUUAAAGGGAGCGUAGGUGGAUUGUUAAGUUAGAUGUGAAAGUUUGCGGCUCAACCGUAAAAUUGCAUUUCAAACUGGGAGGCUUGAGUACAGUAGAGGUGGGCGGAAUUCGUGGUGUAGCGGUGAAAUGCUUAGAUAUGACGAAGAACUCCGAUGGCGAAGGCAGCUCACUGGACUGCAACUGACACUGAGGUUCGAAAGUGUGGGUAUCAAACAGGAUUAGAUACCCUUGUAGUC